AUGUUGCUGCCACGGGCCACUGGCUCCUCCAGGCAGGGUGGGAAGGCAAUCUGUCACUCUGUCCCCAUGAGAAGAGCCUCUCUGGGACAGCAGGGUGUCAGUAUGGGGAGGGCAAGACACAAGGCUCCCUCACAAGCCUCCAAGCUAAACACCCCAUAUGGAGCCAGGGGCACUGCCAGCGCUGCAGGGCCAGGCCUCAGCCGAAGGGAAGACUACCCCCAGCACAGUCCCCCCAGAAGUGCCAUGCCACUGGCUGCCGUCACUCCUGGGCAGCACAAGAAGGCAUGGCGAGGUGAGGGCAGGGGCAAGAGGCAAAGACAGUGGCAGCAAGUGCAGGCAGACGACAUGCUAAUCAUGCUCCUGUGUAGCAACAGGGCUGGCAGGGGCACAAGACGACAGGAGCAAUGGAAGCUCAGGGGCAGAAUGCACGUUAACAGAGACAAUGAACAAGGGCAACAGGAGAGAGAGAAGGACCUCAUGGAGCAGGACCCAUGUGCAUCUUCCUCAAAUGGCUGUGGGAGCCAGGGUGGCCAGCACAGGGUUCCUGUGCAUAGGCCACAGUGGAAGCGGCCUGAGAAGGCACACUGGUGGAGUCACAGCCGGAGGAGGAAUUGGAAACAGCAACAACAACUACAGUGCACCGAGCCCAGCCACCAAGACCAGGCAGGUGGGCAGAGCAGCAGUGGUCAAAAGGGAGUCCUGUUCUGGAAUGCGAAGAAGCGCUGCUGGGUCCCAACCUUGCGUGUGCCAGCAGCAACCUGGCGAGAGGCAAGAGCACGCCUCCGCCCCAUGAACGUGGCAGGACACCGCCCACCAGGGAUGUGCACACCCCACAACACCAGCCAGUACAUCAUGGACCAGCACGACCCAAUAGGUUGAAGGCACAUGAACAGAAGAGGAAAAGGAGAGCACAUAGCCUGCCCAUCAAGAUUGCAAGUGCCAAGACGAUAUCUACUGUAAAACCUAAACUGGAGUGGCAGCACAAGGAAAGUGUCUGUCUCAUAAAAUCAUCAGCUAUUAAGAGCAAGGAAUCUCUUAAAAUUCAGCUUCCUAAAUAAAUAUAUAUAUGCACUUCUAACCUUGCUGGCU
rnacentral:lncRNA from 1 species